rnacentral:rRNA from 1 species
AGAGUUUGAUCCUGGCUCAGAUUGAACGCUGGCGGCAUGCCUUACACAUGCAAGUCGAACGGUAGAGGGGCAACCCUUGAGAGUGGCGAACGGGUGAGUAAUAUAUCGGAACGUGCCCAGUCGUGGGGGAUAACGCAGCGAAAGCUGCGCUAAUACCGCAUACGAUCUAUGGAUGAAAGCGGGGGAUCGCAAGACCUCGCGCGAUUGGAGCGGCCGAUAUCAGAUUAGGUAGUUGGUGGGGUAAAAGCCCACCAAGCCGACGAUCUGUAGCUGGUCUGAGAGGACGACCAGCCACACUGGGACUGAGACACGGCCCAGACUCCUACGGGAGGCAGCAGUGGGGAAUUUUGGACAAUGGGCGCAAGCCUGAUCCAGCAAUGCCGCGUGCAGGACGAAGGCCUUCGGGUUGUAAACUGCUUUUGUACGGAGCGAAACGGUCUGGGUUAAUACCCUGGGCUAAUGACGGUACCGUAAGAAUAAGCACCGGCUAACUACGUGCCAGCCGCCGCGGUAAUUC